UAUGGGCGCGAGCCUGAACCAGCCAAGUAGCGUGAAGGAUGACUGCCCUAUGGGUUGUAAACUUCUUUUAUACGGGAAUAAAGUGAGGCACGUGUGCCUUUUUGUAUGUACCGUAUGAAUAAGGAUCGGCUAACUCCGUGCCAGCAGCCGCGGUAAUACGGAGGAUCCGAGCGUUAUCCGGAUUUAUUGGGUUUAAAGGGAGCGUAGGCGGACGCUUAAGUCAGUUGUGAAAGUUUGCGGCUCAACCGUAAAAUUGCAGUUGAUACUGGGUGUCUUGAGUACAGUAGAGGCAGGCGGAAUUCGUGGUGUAGCGGUGAAAUGCUUAGAUAUCACGAAGAACUCCGAUUGCGAAGGCAGCCUGCUGGACUGUAACUGACGCUGAUGCUCGAAAGUGUGGGUAUCAAACAGGAUUAGAUACCCUGGUAGUCCAAGGGCGAAUUC
rnacentral:rRNA from 1 species